CCGCAUCUGGCUAACCCAUCUCGCGAGAGGGGGAGCCGGCGCGAGGACCUGAGAGACGGCAGCGCAGGAGUGAGGACCUUGGCCAUGACGCCGGCGCGAGGACCUGGAGGCGAAGACGCCGAUGCGAGGUCCAGGAGGCGAAGCCCAGGCUGGUCGUGGUCGUAGUGGCCGCUCGCCCAUGUACGUCCCCGCCGCCGCCGCCGUGAGGUUCUGGAGGGGACGACGCCGGCGCGAGGGUCUUGGAGGUCCCGGCUGCGCUUGGUCGUAAUGAUGGACGAACAGAGGGAAAUGAUUUGGUGAAAUAUUGAUUGCGAGGCUUUGGAACCAAGUAACUACAAAACAAUUGGAGCAAAGGUCAAGGUUCUCACCCCCCCAAUAUCCGUUAUGUUACCGUGUACUCCCUCCGUUCCUAAAUAUAAGUCCACCUAAAUUAUGUGGUUCUCUAUAUGUAUGAUCUUGUUCCUUGUGUUCUUCUGUCAUUUGACAAUGAGCAGAUAUUAAUCUACAGAGGCGGUGAAUGGAACUCUAGAUACUCAGCUUUCGACUCUCACUCGAAAAGUUCAAAAGAAUAAUCUGGCAGUGUCAUCUGCUUUGAGUAGCUCAGGAUGGGUGGUUAGAAGAGAUGGAAGGGAAGGCGCAAGAACAUGAUAAGAAGGAUGUUGCACAACAAGAGAAGAUAAAGGAGCUCCAGAUUGCUGUAGAUAAGAUUAUCAGUUUUUACUAGUGGCUGUUAGAAGCUAUAGACAAGAUGAUGCAUUUUUAUUAGAUUCAAGUGAGAUUAUUCAGAUUAGCAUAAAAAGUGCAGAGGAUCGUGCAAAGCUUUGUUAUCAUUUGAUUAUUUCACUAUAUAUUUUGUUCAGUUUCGAUGUAA